UUCCUGAUGGUUCAGUGCUAGAACUCUGCACUCUUACUGCCAAAGGCCCAGGCUCAAUCCCUGGCUGGGGAA
rnacentral:tRNA from 1 species